rnacentral:rRNA from 1 species
AUUGAACGCUGGCGGCAGGCCUAACACAUGCAAGUCGAGCGGAUGAAGGGAGCUUGCUCCUGGAUUCAGCGGCGGACGGGUGAGUAAUGCCUAGGAAUCUGCCUGGUAGUGGGGGAUAACGUCCGGAAACGGGCGCUAAUACCGCAUACGUCCUGAGGGAGAAAGUGGGGGAGCUUCGGACCUCACGCUAUCAGAUGAGCCUAGGUCGGAUUAGCUAGUUGGUGGGGUAAAGGCCUACCAAGGCGACGAUCCGUAACUGGUCUGAGAGGAUGAUCAGUCACACUGGAACUGAGACACGGUCCAGACUCCUACGGGAGGCAGCAGUGGGGAAUAUUGGACAAUGGGCGAAAGCCUGAUACAGCCAUGCCGAGUGUGUGAAGAAGGUCUUCGGAUUGUAAAGCACUUUAAGUUGGGAGGAAGGGCAGUAAGUUAAUACCUUGCUGUUUUGACGUUACCAACAGAAUAAGCACCGGCUAACUUCGUG